rnacentral:lncRNA from 1 species
GGAGAAGCAGGCUUAUGUGCACACGGGUGGGGGUGACGGUGCCUAUCAUUACUGCGACCACAGCAACGACUCCACCCGAGGCUCCAGGGCUCCUGACCGGAAACGCAGACUUUCUCCGUCGGCCCGGGUCCGCGCACCUUCCCCGCGGCGGGGGGGGCGGGGCGCGGCCCACAGGCGGGCCCUGGCCUCAACGGCCCCGCCCGGCUGGGCUCGCAGCGCGGUACCCCGAGCGCCCGAGCCUCCACGGCCCCGGGCGACCUCGGGCUCUCCCGCCGCAGGGCAGAGGGGCCAGGCGCGUACACCCGGGCGCCCCUCGCGGCCCCGCAGUCCCCUCCCACCGCGCGGGCACAACUUUCUUAAAGGGACAGGUGGCUCGGAUCCGCAGCCACCUGGGGGACAGACUCUUCCUGGUCCGACCCCUUUGGGGGAGAGACGAGGCCCCACAGAUCGCUCAGCCCGCCCACCUCCUUGACCCCCGGGACAGGCACGGAGUGCAAGUGUUAAAGCACCCAGCGUCCUUUUGCAGCCUAAUUCUUCUGGCCCAAAUCCUCCUCCCCCUGCUCCUGAACGCACGCUCGCGGGCACGCUGUAGCUGCCACAGUUCGCAAAGUUUGAAGAGGGGUGCCCCAGAGCGUGCGGGGCUCGUUGCUGCUGGGAAACGCCAGCUGCGAUCCCCUCGACCCUGCCCUGUAACUGACCCUUGGGGAAAAGCCCCCCGCACGACUACUGCGCAUGCUCUGAGCUGGACAGCUCCAGAGAGGGAAAUUUAAAAACGGUUGGAGCUGCGACAGCGGGCAAAUUGCGGAAUGCGAGGGGCGAGUGCGAGGGAGCCCCCUCCGGAAACCCCGCCCACCCCCGGAGCGCCGGCGUAGCGGUCCCGCGAGAUCGGCUCCAGUACCAAGGAUCAAACUCAGGACCCUUGUGCUUACCAGGCAGGCGCACCACCUCUGAGCUAAAUCCCCAGCCCUUUCAGCUAAUCUUUACAUAUUUGUUAAUUUACUCAGAAGGACUGUUUCUAACAAUGCCAUGGGCAAUGGACUCUGGUGAACAGAACAUUACUCAGCCUUCAAACAACAUCUGGCAUCUGGCUGUCCCCCAAACUGAGAUGGAUGAUGAAAGCACAUGACCUGAUGAGUGUCCCCAAAUAAUUCUCCUUACAUUAAAAUCAAAUAUAAAGGUCCCUGAUUUUCUCUGUCGAUAGAUUCUUUGCUUAGAAUUCACCCUCUGCUCUCUUGCAGUGUAUCAAAAAACUCUUCAACUGUUCUAUAUUCCUAUGACUACUGAUAAAUCCUUUUUUUUGGGGGGGGGGGUACCAGGGAUCGAACUUGGGACCUUGUGCUUGUGAGGCAGGCGCUGGAACCACUGAGCUAAAUCUCCAGCCCAAUAAAUCCUUUUUUUGGAUAAAUCCUUUUUUUACCAUUUGCAGCACUGGUCUCUUGUGGGCACAUGAAACUGGGUAGCUGUCCUUAAGACUCCAAGCUGCUUCUGCAGCUCUUCUCUAUAGCAGAUGGCUAUGCACAGAAAUGGCACAUGCUGAAUACGGAAAGCUGUUCUGCUCAGGGUCAUAGAGCAAAAAGAACAUACAUGUUGAGACCAGUACAAGAUGGAAACAUCAGUUAAUCUGAUCAGUUUAGUUAAGCGGAACCAAACUGUUUAUCCCAUUCCUUUGUGCUGAGAUUACCAUCAGAAUGCUUCUAGCUUGUCACAUGCCCCUACUCAAUGUCCCUUGAGUGAUCAUUUUCUUAAUUUGUCUUUUUGCUCUCAAUUCCUGGUAUUUUGAAUAAAAGCUGAACUGGCCUCACUCUGGGACUAUUUACCAUUCUUUGGAGCAGUCCCUCUGGUCUCUCAGCAUUCUUGCAAUCUUGGACUCUGAAUAAUUUGUUUUAUUCAUCUCCAGUGUCCCAGGUGGCAUUCUGCCAGUCUC